GACGGAGGGUGCUAGCGUUGUUCGGAAUUACUGGGCGUAAAGGGCGCGUAGGCGGCCCUGUCAGUCGGGUGUGAAAGCCCGGGGCUCAACCCCGGAACGGCACCCGAGACGGCGGGGCUGGAGACCGGGAGAGGAGGGUGGAAUAGCCAGUGUAGAGGUGAAAUUCGUAGAUAUUGGCUGGAACACCGGUGGCGAAAGCGGCUCUCUGGCCCGGUUCUGACGCUGAGGUGCGAAAGCGUGGGGAGCAAACAGG
rnacentral:rRNA from 1 species